rnacentral:sRNA from 1 species
GCAGCCUGGCGGAAACGACCCGCCCUCCCGAUCCCGGGACCUUCUAGCUCUGGAUGCUCACAUAUAUUCUGAGCUUCCUGCCUCUGUCAGAUCAGAAAGAGGCCUCCCUCGUGAGCUGGGCUUGGUACCGUGCCGCCCAGAAUGCCCUUCGGGAGCAACCAGGCCUUACCUCCCUGGACCUCAGUGGCUGCUCAGAACUGACUGAUGGGGCGCUCUUGGCCGUGAGCCGUGGCCUGCGGCACCUGCGGCGCCUGAGCCUGGGGAAGCUGCAGCGGCUGACAGACGCAGGAUGUACAGCUCUGGGUGGCCUGCAGGAGCUGCAGAGCCUCGACAUGGCCGAGUGCUGUCUGGUGAGAGGGCGGGAACUGGCCCAGGCCCUGAGCUCUGUGCACGGGGCUCCAUCCCAGCUGGCCUCCCUCAGCCUGGCCCACUGUUCUUCAUUGAAGUCACGCCCAGAGCUGGAGCAUCAGGCCUCAGGUACCAAGGACCCCUGUCCCGAGCCACAGGGCCCCUCCCUGCUCAUGCUGCGGGCCCUGCAGGAGUUGGACCUCACAGCCUGCAGCAAGCUGACCGAUGCCAGUUUAGCCAAGGUGCUCCAGUUUCCCCAGCUGAGGCAGCUGUCCCUUAGCCUGUUGCCAGAACUCACAGACAACGGCUUGGUGGUUGUGGCCAGGGGCUGUCCUAGCCUGGAGCACUUGGCGCUGAGUCACUGCAGCCGCCUCAGUGACAAGGGCUGGGCCCAGGCAGCCAGCUCCUGGCCGAGGCUGCAGUAUCUCAAUCUGUCCAGCUGCAGUCAGCUCA